GACGAACGCUGGCGGCGUGCUUAACACAUGCAAGUCGAACGGAAAGGCCCUGCUUUUGUGGGGUGCUCGAGUGGCGAACGGGUGAGUAACACGUGAGUAACCUGCCCUUGACUUUGGGAUAACUUCAGGAAACUGGGGCUAAUACCGGAUAGGAGCUCCUGCUGCAUGGUGGGGGUUGGAAAGUUUCGGCGGUUGGGGAUGGACUCGCGGCUUAUCAGCUUGUUGGUGGGGUAGUGGCUUACCAAGGCUUUGACGGGUAGCCGGCCUGAGAGGGUGACCGGCCACAUUGGGACUGGGAUACGGCCCGGACCCUUACGGGAGGCAGCGGUGGGAAUUAUUGCACAAUGGGCGGAGGCCGGAGGCAGCAACGCCGCGUGCGGGAGGACGGCCUUCGGGUUGUAAACCGCUUUCGCCUGUAACGAGGCGUGAGUGACGGUAAUGGGUAAAAAAGCACCGGCUAACUACGU
rnacentral:rRNA from 1 species